CCUACGGGUGGCUGCAGUGGGGAAUAUUGGACAAUGGGCGAAAGCCUGAACCAGCCAUGCCGCGUGUGUGAAGAAGGCCUUCGGGUUGUAAAGCACUUUCAGUGGGGAAGAAAGCCUUGGGGCUAAUACCCUCGAGGAAGGACAUCACCCACAGAAGAAGCACCGGCUAACUCCGUGCCAGCAGCCGCGGUAAUACGGAGGGUGCGAGCGUUAAUCGGAAUUACUGGGCGUAAAGCGCGCGUAGGCGGUCUGAUAAGCCGGUUGUGAAAGCCCCGGGCUCAACCUGGGAACGGCAUCCGGAACUGUCAGGCUAGAGUGCAGGAGAGGAAGGUAGAAUUCCCGGUGUAGCGGUGAAAUGCGUAGAGAUCGGGAGGAAUACCAGUGGCGAAGGCGGUCUUCUGGACUGACACUGACGCUGAGGUGCGAAAGCGUGGGUAGCAAACAGGAUUAGAUACCCCGGUAGUC
rnacentral:rRNA from 1 species